rnacentral:tRNA from 1 species
GCCACCUUAGCUCAGCUGGUAGAGCAACUGAUUUGUAAUCAGUAGGUCGCAGGUUCGAUUCCAGCAGGUGGCU